UUGGAAUAGUGGGAUGGAAAAUGGAACACAGAACCUGGAACACAAGAAAAUAACUUUGUCUUCUGCUGUGCAGAGAUUAACCUGGCUUCCAAGUGGCUCAAGCCUAUAUGUGCCCUGGGACCCAUGGCCCUGACUCCCCUCGCUCUCCCUGCGCCCCUAGGCCACUGGCCCCCACCUGCUCCUGGAUGAUGCUGACGGGGCCGUGGUGAGUCAGCUGGGGCUGAGACGGUGUUCUCGAGGAUGUGCGCUUCUGCAAGUGAAGAUGAGCGUGGAGGUAGACAGCACUGUGAACAUCUCCUGAGUGCCGGGUCUUAGUCGUCCGUUCGAGGCUGGGUUUGCCCCAAAGCAGACUCUGAGCGAGGAUCUCAGUGCAAGACGCGUAUUUGGGAGGCGAAUCAGGGAAGCAUGUAGCUUCCCCAUUUUGUAGGCAGAGAAACGGGUGCCUGAGAGAGAGCAGCCAGGGGAGAAAGCGGCGUCCUUGCUUGAGCACGGAGCUCCUGGGCCACCUCCCCCCACCGCCCCGUCUAGUGCCCUGGCCAGCCAGCAAGUGCUGAGGCAGCAUCUGUCGGAUAUCCCCAAGUGCUUAAUCUAUGCUGUGGACUGAAAGACAGCGACAACAGCGUGCAGACCCCUGCUGUCCCAGUAGUGGCAUGCUGGGGGAGACAGACGGCCGACAGCCAGGGCCUCACAGGGCAGUCCUGAUCCAGGGCUGUUUGGAAAUGUUGGGGACACUAACACCUCCUCACAGAGCUGCGAGGCUCGAGUGGGAUAAGGUGCACAAGGUAGCACACGUUGGCCUGGCAGAUAGUGGGUGCUCAAUCAGUGCUUGUUGGAUAAAUGAACCAAUAAAAGCAGUUCUCUCUGAGCCCUGAUUACCAGUGAAAUGGAGCUGAGGGUCCUUUCCUUGGAAAGUUGUUAUAAAGGUUUCUAACUUUGUUUAAAUUAAUGAAUUUAAAUUAAUAAAUAGAGCUUAC
rnacentral:lncRNA from 1 species